UUCGAAGUUCCUACACCACCAAGCUCCACUCUCUACUUCAGGAAGGCUCGAAGCUCUUGCUUCGCGCGCGAUGGCAGAUACAGAGCGCGAGACCGCCAAAGCUCUGGAGCUCCGCCUCCUUCGGUGCUCCCUCUCUCCUUCCAAAAGCACAGCUCCUCCUCCUCCAACCAUUCAAAAGCAAUCUCCCAAUCUCCUCCCUUUCAUCGAAGAAAUCACAUCAUCCAUCGAGAAAGGAGACUACUCCGCCGCUCUCUCCUCCGACACAGUCGGUCUCGUCUUCCAGUUCGCAGACUCAUGGGAGUUCAAGGACUCAGCGGACUGCGCGGACCGAUUCUACCACGAAGUCGAGAAGAGCGCUGAAUCGUUCCUGCGGAAGAAUGACUCCGAAGCUUGGCUCAGCGUGCUGGAGCCCGAAGACGAUCCCGACCGUUCGUGCAGAGCGGUUCUUGUCAUGUGCAUUGGUGUUGCGGCUUUUCUUGCUUUUACCCAGCUCAAUAUGACCGGUCCUGUUGAGGAAUUGCCCCCAUUUCCUCUAACAUUCCUGGGUUCGAAAAAAGGAAAGGCUGUCAGUGGGAGUGGGGAGUGGGAAAUGUGGGCCCGUAGGCAGCUCAUGUCCAGCGGUUCUGAUUUGCUCGGGAAAUUUUCCCAUCUGCAGUAUAUAGUUUAUGCCAAGAUGUUGCUUUCGAAGGUGAAAGACUUGUCUAUGGAGGGGAAUAAUUCUUGUUUAAGCGGAACUAGAACGGUUGUGUGGUGGUUGUCUAGGCUUAUUCUCCUUCAACAAAGGAUUUUAGAUGAGCGAUUGUCUUCUUUAUAUGAUCUAUUACGUGUGCUGAUGAAUGAAACUGUGGGUCAUUUUGGCAAUUUGGAUGAAGUAGUGAAUUACUGGGGUACCAGCUUGUGUGAGGGAGAAGCAUUAGCCAUUGUGUCGAUGGCUCAUUUAGAAGCAGGGUUGGUAGAACAUACUUAUGGUCGAGUUGAUUCUUCAAGGAUACAUUUUAACUGUGCUCAAGAAGCAUCUGGACUGCAUCUUUCCGUUACAGGUGUUCUGGGCUUCCGGACUGUUCACCAGGUAGAGGCAAAGGCUCAAAUGGUGCUUGUUACUAACGCAACUGAGCAGAAAAGUGGCAAUCAAAAUGAUGUCAUGGAAAGUCAUGCACUCCGGAGAUGUAGUUCUCCCCUUGAGGCAGAUAAGAUGGUCACUCAUUCUGAUGAUCAACAUGAGAAUUGUGACAUACUGAUGACUCCAAGGCUAGUAGAAACUGAGAAAGAUGCUGGGAGUGAUGCAAGUGCUAUUCAAAAUGGUGGUAGUGCUAAGGCAACUCUAGAUGCGAACCAGCAGGCUGUGAUCCUGGCACAGUGCCUUUUUAUUAAAAAGAGCAACCCAGAUGAUGAGUUGCAAGGAUGGCAGAUGGCCCCAUUCAUUGAGGCUAUUGACGGUCAACAAUUGUCAUACUUUAUUAUUAGGUGCUUCUGUGACAUCCUACGCAUUGAAUGGGAGUCUACUCGCAGUCGCACAAAGCAGCGUGCGUUGGUGAUGUUGGAUAAAUUGGUCCAGGGUAUUUAUGAAAGUUUUCCUGGAGCUGCACAGAGGAUUUGCUUUGCAUAUGAUGUUUAUAUCCCCACCAUUCCGGCAUUACGGAAAGAAUAUGGUGAACUAUUAGUGAGUAGUGGUAUGAUUGGAGAGGCACUUAAAAUUUUUGAGGAUCUAGAGCUGUGGGAUAAUCUAAUCUAUUGCUACCGCCUACUAGGAAAGAAGGCGGCAGCUGUUGAGCUCAUCAAGGCACGCUUAUGUGAUAUGCCUCAUGAUCCAAGGUUAUGGUGUUCUCUGGGUGAUGUUACAAAUGAUGAUGCUUAUUAUGACAAAGCGUUGGAAGUUUCAAACAAUAGGUCUGCUCGAGCUAAGCGGUCUCUAGCAAGGAGUGCAUACAAUAGGGGGGACUACGAGACAUCUAAAGUCCUUUGGGAAUCUGCAAUGGCUUUGAAUUCUUUGUAUCCAGAUGGGUGGUUUGCUCUUGGCGCUGCUGCAUUGAAGGCUCGGGAUAUUGAUAAAGCACUGGAGGGGUUUACUCGUGCUGUGACACUCGAUCCUGAAAAUGGAGAGGCUUGGAAUAAUAUUGCUUGCUUGCAUAUGAUCAAGAAAAAGAGCAAGGAAGCUUUUAUUGCGUUCAAGGAAGCACUCAAAUUCAGGCGGACCAAUUGGCAAUUAUGGGAGAAUUAUAGCCAAGUUGCCAUGGACAUUGGCAAUUUCAAUCAGGCACUAGAAGCCACCAAAACAGUAUUGGAUUUGACAAACAACAAAAGAAUAGAUGCUGAAUUAUUGGAAAGGUUAAUGGUGGAGAUGGAAGUAAGAUCAUCAAGGCAUGAUUUGUCAUCCACUACAGUUGGAGGUCCUAAUUGUGCCAUCCAAACUUCUCCAAGUAAUUCUUCUGGUGACUCUCUUGACAACUUGCCUCUUGAAUCCAGCAUGGCAAGAUCAUGGGAAACUGAGCACUUGAUGGAUUUGCUUGGGAAAGUUCUGCAGCAGAUUGUUCGGAGUGGUGGGGGAGGAGAUAUAUGGGGUCUGUAUGCAAGAUGGUACAAAAUCAAAGGGGAUCUCACAAUGUGCUCAGAAGCCCUUCUAAAGCAAGUUAGAUCAUACCAGGGAUCUGAUUUGUGGCAUAGCGAAGACCGGUUUAAGAAAUUUGCACAUGCCUCUUUGCAACUUUGCAAGGUAUACAUGGAAAUUGCUUCAUCCACUGGUAGCCAUCGAGAACUCGCUGCAGCUGAGAUGCACCUAAAAAAUACAAUCAAGCAGGUUGGUGAUCAAAACCAUUGAGCUAAUGGCCCCCAUAUGACUAAUAGAGAACUUCCCUGUAGUGGAUGGAGUUUGCACAAGUGGGUCCAUAUGCUGGCUGUGAGAUUCUCAGAUACGGAUGAAUUCAGAGAUCUUCAAGCCUGCCUUGACCAAAUAAAGAAGUAACUCAGAAACCAUAAAGAGACGACAUGCUGCGUUUGUAUAUUUCCGGCCUAACAGAAGGGUAAGUUGGAAAGAAAGGAACCACAGAAGUCUUGAAAAAUAACAAUACGAACUUAGAAGGGAAACCCUGUACUAUAUAUAACGCCAGUGUUUCUGGACAGUUUUUCCCAAUCAAUUAGUCUCCAAGAGGUAAAACUUUUUGAAAUUUAGCAGGAAAUUGUUUGGGAUUUCAAUCUUAUGUCAGGAUAUUUGGGGAAUUUUGAAAACGCACGCGCAUGCGAUGGAUGGCUGAGAUAAUAUCACAUUUAUCAAUGAAUGGCAUGGAUUUAGUACGAAAGAA